rnacentral:rRNA from 1 species
CAGAGCUUGCUCUGUGGGUGGCGAGUGGCGGACGGGUGAGUAAUGCAUCGGGACCUACCCAGACGUGGGGGAUAACGUAGGGAAACUUACGCUAAUACCGCAUACGUCCUACGGGAGAAAGCGGGGGAUCGCAAGGCCUCGCGCGGUUGGAUGGACCGAUGUGCGAUUAGCUAGUUGGUGAGGUAACGGCUCACCAAGGCGACGAUCGCUAGCUGGUCUGAGAGGAUGAUCAGCCACACUGGGACUGAGACACGGCCCAGACUCC